rnacentral:lncRNA from 1 species
CUGAAACUUACAGUAAGAAUCGUGGUCGGCAGGAGAUCCCUCAGCACUACCAGCACCAUGGAGAGAGACAGAGAGAGCAGAGAGAAAAGGCAUUGAGGUUCCACAAAGCAUCCAGGGGCCCUUGUAAACAUUCCCAUAGAAAAUUGCCUCCAUCUCCUAUCUUACUGCAAUCCCUCCUCUACACGAGGGAAUCAACGGACAAAGCUGACACUGCACAAAGUACAUCACCCCAGGGUCCCAGAUGCCCACACAUUACCCAGACCUGCCACUUGCUUCUCCGCAUCUCUCCCUACAGGAACCUGUAAGAAGAAGGAAAGUGCCACAUCAGAGCUAUGACACCCUCAAGGAUCCCACACAAUACCCAUAAGCCCUGACCUUUCUUGAUGAUCCAGCAGGAGGCUGCAGGCAGGAGGAGGGGGACAGUCACUGAUGCCACUGCAAUGACUAUGUGAUCCAUCUGGGUAUAUGGGGUCAGAGCAGAGUGAUGCAGGCUCUGGGGUGGGAUGGGGAUGUACUGAUGGUAUGAGGGUAAAGGGAAGGCAUAGGGACAAUGGUAAGGGAUGGGGUUGACAGAACAAAACGGGAGUCUCUCACUUGUGGGUGCUGUUCCUUCCAUGGAGCCAGACACAUGGCCUGGGGGGACAAAUGGAUGGACUGAGUGACUCAGCGCUCCCAGCUCUGCCAGGACACGGCCCCUGAGUGCAUUGAUAUGGGGCAGGGCAUGCAGGCUUGGACAGAGUCAGUUCUGUCCAAUGGGACACGUGGGCUGAUGUGGUAUCUCUGCAACCCAGGGAAUAGAUUACAUAACUCUAAUGAAUUAUGAAUUGCCUGUCAGAGAUGCAGAUGUUUGUUACUGCAGCACAAUUCUCUCCUUUCAGUUACUGUGAAAAUUAGAAAGGACUAGUAUGUUCCUCUGUGUGUAUGGGAGGGCAGCAUCCCACAAGCAAGACUCCAUCCUGCAUCUUCCCUCCUGCCACCAUCCAAAAGCAGUUUUUGGUGCCUUUGUUCCAGGUGGAGGCACACGGAUCACAAAGCACACCAACAUCUGGCCAUCCCCACACUAUGGCCACAACAUCAUCUUCUUGCUGCAUAGGGAC